CAGUAAACAUUUCAUUUAUAUGUUAGAUAGCUACAAUCAGGUAUUGAGGCAUGGGCAGGACUCGUUAAAGAGAAAAGAUGARGAAGAAAAAUGAAAAAAAAGCUAGAAAGGAGAUUUUAGAAAAUACGUAAUAGCUAUGCCGUUACAAUGUUAUUCAUUAAUUAACAUAUGGCAGUUCUUUGACAUGUGAGCAGGAUUGRGGCAUCUUUGUGUUGUGUGCUAUAGAAGCACAAAUAUUCCCAUGAUUUCUGCUUCAAGGAGCUUGGUCACAUUUUCAGUACCAUCUGCACUGGUACUCUGCUUACCACCUCUGCUCCUCAAAAACAGGAGGUGGAACCAUAAAUCUCAAAGGACAUGUGGCAAGCAAGAGAGGCACAGCAGAAACAAAUUCCUGUGAGAACAAAUAGCACUGAGAUGCCCUGGGUGAUACUAGGAGAAAAUGGGGACAGCAGGGAGAGGAACGGUACUGAUGAAUGUUGGAAAUGAAGAGCAGCCAUCAUUUGUCAGAUCUUACAAGUUAAAAUUUCAA
rnacentral:lncRNA from 1 species